rnacentral:rRNA from 1 species
UACAGAGGUCUCAAGCGUUGUUCGGAUUCAUUGGGCGUAAAGGGCGCGUAGGCGGCCUGUUAAGUCGAACGUGAAAUCCCCGGGCUCAACCCGGGAACUGCGUCCGAUACUGGCAGGCUUGAAUCCGGGAGAGGGAUGCGGAAUUCCAGGUGUAGCGGUGAAAUGCGUAGAUAUCUGGAGGAACACCGGUGGCGAAGGCGGCAUCCUGGACCGGCAUUGACGCUGAGGCGCGAAAGCCAGGGGAGCAAACGGG